AAUGGAGAGGCGAUGAGUCACAGCCAAGCGAACUUUCUCUGCUCCUGAACAAAUUGCUUCUCCUCGUCGUCCCACUCCAAACCUAGAGGUGGGACAACCCCAGCAUCCUGGGCGUGAACGCACCCAGCUUGAUUGUCACAUGGGGAAUAGAGACCUCGCGCCUGCCUGGCAUAGGCCAACCCAGUAAUGUUCAUUUAAAGCUGGCUUUACUAGUCCUUCUUCCACAAUGAGAGGUGACCCUUCACUUCACCGAGAAAGGAAGGAAGAAAGCAUAAUAUUUCAUCGCGUGAAGAGGCCAUGAUUUCUCCGUUCCGCUGAGGAUCGAUUGAGCUGUUUCCAGUUUGGGGCGCGAUGAACAAUGCCGCAGUGAGGAUUCUUGUCAGUGCUGGCGUAUCUCAUGAUAGGUUUGGAAAUAAAUUCUGAUGGGAAUUAAAACUGGUGUAACCUCUAUAAAGGGCCAUUUAGCAAGAACUGUCAAAAUGUAAAAAACAUGCGCCCUUCUGGGAAUUACUUCUACAGAUCUGCCCGAACAUGCAAAAUGUCUCAUGCACCAGGUUCUUCUUUGCAGCAUUUGUUUGCAAAAGCUGAGGUGUAGCAACAACCUAAAUAUCCAUCAAUAAAUAUUUAUCCAUCCAUAGACUAGAAUACCAGGCAGCCACCAGAAGGAAUGAGAAAGCUCGGUACCAGCAGGACCUCCAAGUUAAGUAAAAAAGCAAGAUGCUGAACAGUACAUAUAGUUCUCCACCAUGUAGAUUAAAAAGGGACGGAAUACAUUUGCUUGUAUUUGCAUAAAAUAUCUAUGAGUAUAGUCAAGAAAUAGAUAAUAUGAUCUAUGUAUGCGGGAUGCGGGGAAGGAAGAUGUUUCCGUGUAUAUUCCUUGGUAAUCGUUGAAUUUUAAGCCAUAUGAAUGCAUUGUCUACUCAAAAACUCAAUUUAUUGUGAAAAGACUAAAAACCACUG
ensembl:lncRNA LINC02861 long intergenic non-protein coding RNA 2861